GCCCAGCGAGCCCUGGCUCCUGCGCCUUGACUCCUGACGGGCGGUGGCCACAUUCCUCCCGUCAACAAGGGGGGCACCGAGGCCCACAGUGUGGGGGACUUCGCAGGCAGCCGUCAGAGGCACCUGCUGCGUCCGGCCCUGCAACCUGCCUUAGCUCAAGCCACUCCCCACCGAGGUAAACACCUAGGAGUGGGGUGGCUGGGCUGUAUGGUUUCAGUAUAACUCAGCAUGACACUAUUACUGAUGGCUUCCCUGGUGGCACAGUGGUUAAGAAUCCGCCUGCCAAUUCAGGGGACACGAGUUUGAGCCCUGGUCCCCAAAGAUCCCACAUGCCAUGGAGCAACUAAGCCCAUGCACUACAACCACUGAACCUGUGCUCUAGAGCCCGCGAGCCACAACUGCUGAAACCCGUGCACCUAGAGUCCGUGCUCUGCAACAAGAGAAGCCACCGCAAUGAGAGGCCCGUGCACCGCAACUAAGAGUAG